rnacentral:rRNA from 1 species
AGAACGAACGCUGGCGGCAUGCCUAAUACAUGCAAGUCGAACGAACACUUCGGUGUUAGUGGCGCACGGGUGCGUAACGCGUGGGAAUCUGCCCUUGGGUUCGGAAUAACAGUUGGAAACGACUGCUAAUACCGGAUGAUAUCGAAAGAUACAAAGAUUUAUCGCCCAGGGAUGAGCCCGCGUAGGAUUAGCUAGUUGGUGAGGUAAAGGCUACACCAAGGCGACGAUCCUUAGCUGUCUGAGAGGAUGAUCAGCCACACGUGGGACUGACGACACGGCCCAGACCUCCGUACGGGAGCA